rnacentral:rRNA from 1 species
GAUGAACGCUGGCGGCGUGCCUAAUACAUGCAAGUCGAGCGAACGGACGAGAAGCUUGCUUCUCUGAUGUUAGCGGCUGACGGGUGAGUAACACGUGGAUAACCUACUUAUCAGCCUGGGAUAACUUCGGGAAACCGUAGCUAAUACCGGAUAAUAUUUUGAACCGCAUGGUUCAAAAGUGAAAGACGGUAUUGCUGUAACUUAUAGAUGGAUCCGCGCUUCAUGAGGUAGUUGGUAAGGUAACGGCUUACCACGGAAACGAUCAAUAACCGACUGGGGAGGGUGAUCGCCCACCCGGGACCUGGACCCCGCCCAAGCUCCCUCGGGGAGGCGGCAGUAGGGAAUCUCCCGCAAUGGCGGAAAUCUGGCCGGAGCACGCCCCGGUGAGUGAGGAAGGUCUUCGGUUCGUAAACCCCUGUUAUUAGGGAGGAACAGAUUUGGAAUUGACUGUGCACAUCUUGACGGUACCUUAUCAGAAAGCCACGGCUAACUACGUG